rnacentral:rRNA from 1 species
GACGAACGCUGGCGGCGUGCUUAACACAUGCAAGUCGAACGGUGAAGCGCCUUCCUUUUUGGUGGGUGUGGAUGAGUGGCGAACGGGUGAGUAACACGUGAGUAACCUGCCCCCUUCUUCUGGAUAACCGCAUGAAAGUGUGGCUAAUACGGGAUAUUCUGGGUCUGUCGCAUGAUGGGUCUGGGAAAGAUAUUGUUUCGGUGGGGGAUGGGCUCGCGGCCUAUCAGCUUGUUGGUGGGGUGAUGGCCUACCAAGGCGGUGACGGGUAGCCGGCCUGAGAGGGGGGAGGGCCACCGGGGGCCGGGGCCCCGGCCCAACCUCCCAGGGGGGGCAGGGGGGGGGAAUAGUGACCAGGGGGGAGACGCUUGACGCAGCGCCGCCGGGGGGGGAGGGGGGGCCUUGGGGUGGGGAACCUUUUUCCCCAGGGAGGAGGGCCUGCCUCUUUGGGGGGGGGGUUGCGGGUAGUGGGAAAAGAAGGCCCGGCAAAUCCCGU